rnacentral:rRNA from 1 species
UGCCAGCCGCCGCGGUAAUACGGAGGGGGUUAGCGUUGUUCGGAAUUACUGGGCGUAAAGCGCGCGUAGGCGGAUUGGAAAGUUGGGGGUGAAAUCCCAAGGCUUAACCUUGGAACUGCCAUCAAAACUUUUUAGCUAGAGUGUGAUAGAGGUAAGUGGAAUUUCUAGUGUAGAGGUGAAAUUCGUAGAUAUUAGAAAGAACACCAAAUGCGAAGGCAACUUACUGGGUCACCACUGACACUGAGGAGCGAAAGCAUGGGUAGCGAAGAGGAUUAGAUA